rnacentral:rRNA from 1 species
GGGCCCGCACAAGCGGUGGAGCAUGUGGUUUAAUUCGAUGAUACGCGAGGAACCUUACCAGGACUUAAAUGUAAGUUGCAUGAUUCAGAAAUGAAUCUUUCUUCGGACUACUUACAAGGUGCUGCAUGGUUGUCGUCAGCUCGUGCCGUGAGGUGUCAGGUUAAGUCCUAUAACGAGCGCAACCCCUAUCGUUAGUUGCCAUCAAGUAAAGUUGGGAACUCUAGCGAAACUGCCGGUGCAAACCGUGAGGAAGGUGGGGAUGACGUCAAAUCAUCAUGCCCCUUAUGUCCAGGGCUGCACGCAUGCUACAAUGGCAAGUACAACGAGUCGCAAUACCGCGAGGUGGAGCAAAUCUCUUAAAGCUUGUCUCAGUUCGGAUAGGAGUCUGCAACUCGACUCCUUGAAGUUGGAGUCGCUAGUAA